rnacentral:ncRNA from 1 species
CCCGCCCGGGUCUGUGGUUGAGAGUCGAGGCUAGCCGCGGGCGAAGCGACCCACGUAAGGCAGCCCAAAACCUGGCUGCCGAUCAUGGCGCGGCUUAGGGUAAGUCCUGCCCGCCCCCAGGGCGAGAGAGGCCCAUGCGGCGACGGAGAGGUGCGGCGUUCCGGGCCCGGCCCGGGGCAAGGCGCCCGGCAGGCGAGUGUGGGGGCAAAGACCAGGUCAGCCGGGCGGG